GACGAACGCUGGCGGCGUGCUUAACACAUGCAAGUCGUACGGUAAGGCCCUUUCGGGGGUACACGAGUGGCGAACGGGUGAGUAACACGUGAGUAACCUGCCCACAACUUUGGGAUAACGCUAGGAAACUGGUGCUAAUACUGGAUAUGUGCUCCUGCUGCAUGGUGGGGGUUUGAAAGCUCCGGCGGUUGUGGAUGGACUCGCGGCCUAUCAGCUUGUUGGUGGGGUAGUGGCCUACCAAGGCGGCGACGGGUAGCCGGCCUGAGAGGGUGACCGGCCACAUUGGGACUGAGAUACGGCCCAGACUCCUACGGGAGGCAGCAGUGGGGAAUAUUGCACAAUGGGCGCAAGCCUGAUGCAGCAACGCCGCGUGCGGGAUGACGGCCUUCGGGUUGUAAACCGCUUUCAGCAGGGACGAAGCUUUUUGUGACGGUACCUGCAGAAGAAGCACCGGCUAACUACGUG
rnacentral:rRNA from 1 species